GGGGGGGCAAGCGUUGUUCGGAAUUACUGGGCGUAAAGGGCUUGUAGGUGGCCAACUAAGUCAGACGUGAAAUCCCUCGGCUUAACCGGGGAACUGCGUCUGAUACUGGAUGGCUAGAGUUUGGGAGAGGGAUGCGGAAUUCCAGGUGUAGCGGUGAAAUGCGUAGAUAUCUGGAGGAACACCGGUGGCGAAGGCGGCAUCCUGGACCAACACUGACACUGAAAAGCGAAAGCCAGGGGAGCAAACGGGAUUAGAUACCCCGGUAGUCCUGGCCCUAAACGAUGAAUGCUUGGUGUGGCGGGUAUCGAUCCCUGCCGUGCCGAAGCUAACGCAUUAAGCAUUCCGCCUGGGGAGUACGGUCGCAAGGCUG
rnacentral:rRNA from 1 species